CCCUUAGAUGUUCUGGGCUGCACGCGCGCUACACUGAUACGUUCAACAAGUGUAACCUCCGCCGGCGGGUACUGGGGGAAAUCUUUUGAAAGCGUAUCGUGAUGGGGAUAGAUUAUUGUAAUUAUUAGUCUUCAACGAGGAAUUCCUAGUAAGCUCGGGUCAACAGCUCGUGCUGAUUACGUCCCUGCCCUUUGUACACACCGCCCGUCGCUCCUACCGAUUGAAUGGUCCGGUGAAGCGUUCGGACCGUGGCCUUUGGACGGUUCGCCGUCUGUUGGCUGCGGGAAGUUCGUUAAACCUUAUCAUUUAGAGGAAGGAGAAGUCGUAACA
rnacentral:rRNA from 1 species